UACGGGGGGAGCAAGCGUUGUUCGGAAUUAUUGGGCGUAAAGAGCUCGUAGGCGGUCUGUCGCGUCUGCUGUGAAAACUCGGGGCUUAACCCCGGGCCUGCAGUGGGUACGGGCAGACUAGAGUGCGGUAGGGGAGACUGGAAUUCCUGGUGUAGCGGUGAAAUGCGCGGAUAUCAGGAGGAACACCGGUGGCGAAGGCGGGUCUCUGGGCCGUAACUGACGCUGAGGAGCGAAAGCGUGGGGAGCGAACAGG
rnacentral:rRNA from 1 species